rnacentral:rRNA from 1 species
AUGAACGCUGGCGGCGUGCCUAAUACAUGCCAGUCGAGCGAACGGACGAGAAGCUUGCUUCUCUGAUGUUAGCGGCGGACGGGUGAGUAACACGUGGAUAACCUACCUAUAAGACUGGGAUAACUUCGGGAAACCGGAGCUAAUACCGGAUAAUAUUUUGAACCGCAUGGUUCAAAAGUGAAAGACGGUCUUGCUGUCACUUAUAGAUGGAUCCGCGCUGCAUUAGCUAGUUGGUAAGGUAACGGCUUACCAAGGCAACGAUGCAUAGCCGACCUGAGAGGGUGAUCGGCCACACUGGAACUGAGACACGGUCCAGACUCCUACGGGAGGCAGCAGUAGGGAAUCUUCCGCAAUGGGCGAAAGCCUGACGGAGCAACGCCGCGUGAGUGAUGAAGGUCUUCGGAUCGUAAAACUCUGUUAUUAGGGAAGAACAUAUGUGUAAGUAACUGUGCACAUCUUGGCGGUACCUAAUCAGAAAGCCACGGCUAACUACGUG